rnacentral:rRNA from 1 species
GACGAACGCUGGCGGCGUGCUUAACACAUGCAAGUCGAACGGAAAGGCCCUGCUUUCGUGGGGUGCCCGAGUGGCGAACGGGUGAGUAACACGAGAGUAACCUGCUCUUGACUUUGGGAUAACUUCAGGAAACUGGGGCUAAUACAGGAUAGGAGCUCCUGCUGCAUGGUGGGGGUUGGAAAGUUUCGGCGGUUGGGGUUGGACUCGCGGCUGAUCAGCUUGUUGGUGGGGUGGUGGAUUGCCGAGGCGUGGACGGGUAGCCGGCCUGAGAGGGUGACCGGCCACAUUGGGACUGAGGUACGGCCCAGUGUGGUACGGGAGGCAGCAGUGGGAAAUAUUGCACAAUGGGCGGAAGCCUGAUGCAGCAACGCCGCGUGUGGAAUGACGGCCUUCGGGUUGUGAACCGCUUUCGCCUGAGACGCAGCGUGAGUGACGGUAAUGGGUAAAGAAGCACCGGCUAACUUCGUG